GAGAGAAACGGCGUGUCAGCGGUUUUUACCAGCAGGGCAGGCUCGUUUUAGAGAGAGAGGGGGAAGGGGGGGGUUUGUUUCUGUUUAGCCACUCUCGAUUUGAAGUCAAAAUCCAACCUUUAAACCUUUAUUUCUCCUGAGAGGCCAUGAGAUCUGCCAUUCUGCAACGAGAGGGAUUGACCAUGGAUGUUCGUCAGCUGCAGGGGCAGCUGCGCGAACUUCAAGCUUCAAUGCAUCAGGAGGGAUUCAUCGACGAUCAGUUCACACAGCUUCAAAGGCUGCAAGAUGACAGUAGUCCUGAUUUUGUGAAAGAGGUCGUGACGAUGUACUUUGAUGAUUCUGAAAAACUCAUUGACAACAUGAAAAAGAUUCUAACUCAAGCACCUGUUGAUUUCAAACAAGUAGAUGCUUAUGUUCAUCAAUACAAGGGAAGUAGUGCCAGUGUUGGAGCUGCAAGGAUUAAAAAUAUCUGUAUGAAGUUCAGGAAUUGUUGCGAGAAUCAGGACCAUGAGGGGUGUUGGAGAUUGUUGCAACAGUUGCAAAAUGAAUACAAUUCGCUAAAGGGCAAGCUUAUGUACUUGUUCAGGCUGGAACAAGAGCUCCGUUCUGCUGGUGGUAAAAUCCCCUCACUGGAGUAAGAUGGAAAGUGAGAAUGAGGGCUAAAGACAAAAGCUUUUGGUAGUACAGGUGAUUUGUAGGAGUUUUUAAAGUGUUAUAAAGUUGAUCGACGUGCAGAUUCUGAAUGACUGUAUGGAGGGGAUGGUGCUGAUGUGAAUAAAACCCAAGUGAAACAGGAUUAUUUAUAUAGAGGCUCUCCCCCCACCAGACAACGUUUUUCUCACUCGAGUGCACUCACCCUUUGAUGGUCUAAAUGAGCAACUGCAUGACUUAUUUAUAGGAGGAGGCUAUUGGACAGGAAGGAACAUCCCUCUUUCUUGGAAGCUUUUUUUUUUUUUUGGUUGAACUUGGAGACCAAGAAAUGCGUUGUCUUGCUCUCCAAGUUAGCAAGUUGUUGUUUAUUUUACCAUAAUAAUAAUAAUAAUAAUAAUAAUAAUUGGGUCUUGACUUA